UAUGAUGCGCAAAUAUUCAGAGAGGAAUUUCCGCGUUUACGUGCACAAUAUAUAAUGUAUAGACGUAGUAAAUACGUAUCACGACAGGUUCCUCGAAUUCGUUUCGAAUUCGUCAUCGAUCGUAUGUUCGCUCAUACAUGUCUCAUACUUCCGUCUAAUUUCCCAAUAAACGCGCAAUCGAGCAUUCCGGGAACGAGAGAACCCAAGAGAUGUGCGAGCGCAUGAUAACCCGGCGAACAUGACGUCUCAGCGAUAUGACCAGGGUUAUCAGCAGUUACGAGAGUUACGUUGAAUCAUUGGAAAAUCUGGAAUAACACUUGCGGGUAGUUUGGUCCACGUGACGCUCACGAUGAUUGUUAGACGUAGCAAAACAUGAUCCUCAAGGCCGUACAGGAGCUCUAUCUGUAAGCACUUGUUCCUAUCACAGCAACAGGAAUGUCAGCAACUUUGGUCAAGGGUUCUCUUGAAAGGGUAAUCUUAAAGCGAAACAUUAAGAGAGCAAAUCCUCGAGCGAGACAAAUCGGAAGUGAUCUUUUCGGAGGAUCCGGAGGACGCGAAGAAGAGCGAAGCUCCAAGAAAGGCAAGGGUAUGGAAGAGAGAAAGAGAAAGAGAGAGGAGCUCACGGGAGAUAAAGGAAAAUGCGCUCGUGGAUCAUCAAUAAGCAAUUCUCAGCAAGGCAAUUCCGACGAAGCCGGUGACGACGUAGGAAAGGACACUGAGCGU
rnacentral:lncRNA from 13 species